GAGGAUAUAGCUCAGUGGUAGAGUGCCUGCUUAGCAUGCAUGAGGUCCUGGGUUCAUUCCCCAGUACCUCCU
rnacentral:tRNA from 1 species